GGGGGAAUUUUGCACAAUGGGGGAAACCCUGAUGCAGCGACGCCGCGUGAUUUAGAAGGCCUUCGGGUUGUAAAAAUCUUUUCUAUGGGAAGAAAAUGACAGUACCAUAGGAAUAAGGACCGGCUAAUUACGUGCCAGCAGCCGCGGUAAUACGUAAGGUCCGAGCGUUGUCCGGAAUCAUUGGGCGUAAAGGGUACGUAGGCGGGUAAGCGAGUUAGAAGUGAAAUCCUAUAGCUCAACUAUAGUAAGCUUUUAAAACUGCUCAUCUUGAGGUAUGGAAGGGAAAGUGGAAUUCCUAGUGUAGCGGUGAAAUGCGCAGAUUUUAGGAGGAAUACCGGUGGCGAAGGCGACUUUCUGGCCAGAACCUGACGCUGAGGUACGAAAGCGUGGGUAGCAAACAAG
rnacentral:rRNA from 1 species